UGGGGAAUAUUGGACAAUGGGGGAAACCCUGAUCCAGCAAUGCCGCGUGAGUGAAGAAGGCCUUAGGGUUGUAAAGCUCUUUCGCCCGCGAAGAUAAUGACGGUAGCGGGAGAAGAAGCCCCGGCUAACUCCGUGCCAGCAGCCGCGGUAAUACGAAGGGUGCAAGCGUUACUCGGAAUUACUGGGCGUAAAGCGUGCGUAGGCGGUCUGUUAAGUCUGCUGUGAAAUCCCCGGGCUCAACCUGGGAAUGGCAGUGGAAACUGGCGGGCUAGAGUACGGUAGAGGAUGGUGGAAUUCCCGGUGUAGCGGUGAAAUGCGUAGAGAUCGGGAGGAACACCAGUGGCGAAGGCGGCCAUCUGAACCAGUACUGACGCUGAGGCACGAAAGCGUGGGGAGCAAACA
rnacentral:rRNA from 1 species